rnacentral:rRNA from 1 species
GAUGAACGCUGGCGGCGUGCCUAAUACAUGCAAGUCGAGCGAACGGACGAGAAGCUUGCUUUUCUGAUGUUAGCGGCGGACGUGUGAGUAACACGUGGAUAACCUACCUAUAAGACUGGGAUAACUUCGGGAAACCGGAGCUAAUACCGGAUAAUAUUUUGAACCGCAUGGUUCAAAAGUGAAAGACGGUCUUGCUGUCACUUAUAGAUGGAUCCGCGCUGCAUUAGCUAGUUGGUAAGGUAACGGCUUACCAAGGCAACGAUGCAUAGCCGACCUGAGAAGGUGAUCGGCCACACUGGAACUGAGACACGGUCCAGACUCCUACGGGAGGCAGCAGUAGGGAAUCUUCCGCAAUGGGCGAAAGCCUGACGGAGCAACGCCGCGUGAGUGAUGAAGGUCCUCGGAUCGUAAAACUCUGUUAUUAGGGAAGAACAUAUGUGUAAGUAACUGUGCACAUCUUGACGGUACCUAAUCAGAAAGCCACGGCUAACUACGUG